GACAGAGGGUGCAACCGUUGUUCGGAUUCAUUGGGCGUAAAGGGUGCGUAGGCGGCGCGGUAAGUCGGGUGUGAAAUCUUGGAGCUUAACUCCGAAACUGCAUUCGAUACUGCCGUGCUUGAGGACUGGAGAGGAGACUGGAAUUUACGGUGUAGCGGUGAAAUGCGUAGAUAUCGUAAGGAAGACCAGUGGCGAAGGCGGUUCUCUGGGACGGUACUGACGCUGAGACGCGAAAGCGUGGGGAGCGAACAGG
rnacentral:rRNA from 1 species